rnacentral:rRNA from 1 species
GAUGAACGCUGGCGGCGUGCCUAAUACAUGCAAGUCGAGCGAACAGACGAGGAGCUUGCUCCUCUGACGUUAGCGGCGGACGGGUGAGUAACACGUGGAUAACCUACCUAUAAGACUGGGAUAACUUCGGGAAACCGGAGCUAAUACCGGAUAAUAUAUUGAACCGCAUGGUUCAAUAGUGAAAGACGGUUUUGCUGUCACUUAUAGAUGGAUCCGCGCGGCAUUAGCUAGUUGGUAAGGUAACGGCUUAACAAGGCAACGAUGCGUAGCCGACCUGAGAGGGUGCUCGGCCGCACUGGAGCUGAGACACGGUCCAGACUCCUACGGGGGGCAGCAGUAGGGAAUCUACCGCAAUGGGCGAAAGCAUGACGGAGCAACGCCGCGUGAGUGAUGAAGGUCUUCGGAUCGUAAAACUCUGUUAUUAGGGAAGAACAAAUGUGUAAGCAACUAUGGACGUCUUGACGGUACCUAAUCAGAAAGCCCCGGCUAACUACGUG